CUCCUCUAGACUUUUCAGUGGUGAUUGACAGAUGAAAAUUCAGAUUUAUUAGAUUACCUGUUAGAAAAAGUAAAAGUCAGUCUUCAGUCUUCACCAUCCAUAAAUUCUUUUUAUAUACUAUCCACCCAUCUCACUCCAUAGUCCAUACCUAAUACUUUCUCACUCCUCCAGUUUUGCUCUCUAGGGUUUUCAGCAACAUUAAGGUUCCUCCUGUUCGGUUUUUUCUAAGACAAAUCUUAUUCACAGGUUUGUUUGGAAAAACUAGCGGGUGGAUAUAGGGCUUACGUCAUCCAUGUGCUCCUGGAUUUAUCAUCAUCGGGGAAAUGUGCACAGAUGUGGUAGAUCAGAUACAUAAUUGCAAUACCAAUAUAUAAAAUUAAUGCUAGUCUACUCUUUUAUAUUUUUACAUUUUCCAUUGUCUUAUACAUUUGAACUAAAGGCUUUUCUGUCGUACGAAUAAACAGUCCAUGAGCUGUUUUCCAUCUUAAGUUAAAGGUUAAUUAAAUCUGUAUUCAUCGGGACC